rnacentral:rRNA from 1 species
CCUACGGGUGGCAGCAGUGGGGAAUAUUGCACAAUGGGGGAAACCCUGAUGCAGCGACGCCGCGUGAGUGAAGAAGUAUUUGGGGAUGUAAAGCCCUAUCAGCAGGGAAGAAGAAAGACGGUACCUGACUAAGAAGACCCGGAUAACUAAGUGCCAGCAGCCGCGGUAAUACGUAGGGGGCAAGCGUUAUCCGGAUUUUCUGGGUGUAAAGGGGGCGUAGAGGGGUGUGCAAGUCUGAAGUGAAAGCCCAGGGCUCAACCCUGGGAAUGCUUUUGAAACUGGGGAGCUAGAGUGCUGGAGAGGUAAGUGGAAUGCCUAGUGUAGCGGUGAAAUGCGUAGAUAUUAGGAGGAACACCAGUGGCGAAGGCGGCUUACUGGACAGUAACUGACGUUGAGGCUCGAAAGCGUGGGGAGCAAACAGGAUUAGAUACCCCUGUAGUC